AUUGAACGCUGGCGGCAUGCUUUACACAUGCAAGUCGAACGGUAACAGGCCUUCGGGCGCUGACGAGUGGCGAACGGGUGAGUAAUGCAUCGGAACGUGCCCAGUCGUGGGGGAUAACGCAGCGAAAGCUGUGCUAAUACCGCAUACGAUCUGCGGAUGAAAGCGGGGGACCUUCGGGCCUCGCGCGAUUGGAGCGGCCGAUAUCAGAUUAGGUAGUUGGUGGGGUAAAGGCUCACCAAGCCAACGAUCUGUAGCUGGUCUGAGAGGACGACCAGCCACACUGGGACUGAGACACGGCCCAGACUCCUACGGGAGGCAGCAGUGGGGAAUGUUGGACAAUGGGCGCAAGCCUGAUCCAGCAAUGCCGCGUGCAGGAAGAAGGCCUUCGGGUUGUAAACUGCUUUUGUACGGAGCGAAAAGGCUCCCUCUAAUACAGGGGGCUCAUGACGGUACCGUAAGAAUAAGCACCGGCUAACUACGUGCCAGCCGCCGCGGUAAGAC
rnacentral:rRNA from 1 species